AGCGAACGCUGGCGGCAGGCUUAACACAUGCAAGUCGAGCGGGCGUAGCAAUACGUCAGCGGCAGACGGGUGAGUAACGCGUGGGAACGUACCUUUUGGUUCGGAACAACACAGGGAAACUUGUGCUAAUACCGAAUAAGCCCUUACGGGGAAAGAUUUAUCGCCGAAAGAUCGGCCCGCGUCUGAUUAGCUAGUUGGUGAGGUAACGGCUCACCAAGGCGACGAUCAGUAGCUGGUCUGAGAGGAUGAUCAGCCACAUUGGGACUGAGACACGGCCCAAACUCCUACGGGAGGCAGCAGUGGGGAAUAUUGGACAAUGGGCGCAAGCCUGAUCCAGCCAUGCCGCGUGAGUGAUGAAGGCCCUAGGGUUGUAAAGCUCUUUUGUGCGGGAAGAUAAUGACGGUACCGCAAGAAUAAGCCCCGGCUAACUUCGUG
rnacentral:rRNA from 1 species